AAGCAUACACAUUUUUAUAACCAAAUUAGGAAUAUUGAUUUUAAAAAUCUUCAAAUUUCCUUACAAUAUAUAGUUAUGUAGGGUUCCAAUUAUUUUGGAAGACAUGAAUUAAGAGACUGGUUGAAGUUCACUAGGCGUUCUUUGCUUCUAAGGUCCUCUGUCCUCUAGGCUGUGUUGCAUACAUAAUAAUGCAAGACUGGAGGACACCAAUAGCAUCUACAAAUGACAAGAUACUUUCAGAUGAAGCCUAAUUCCAAAAAGAUUAAAUAGUUAUCCACAUGUAGAUUAUAUAAACUUUUAGGAGGUGGUUAAUUCUGUGGGUUGCUGGAUUCUGGCUCCCUUAUGCCCUGCAACCUUAUGGCUUCAUGCUAUAUAUGAACUUCUCACUAGGAACAAUGGAUGACUUGACUGUUCUCUGCUUCCUGAACAACUUCUACCAUCAUGUUAAAUUGAAGCUUCUCAGUUAUGCUGACUGAAUUCAAUCCCUGGAGUUCUAAGAGAAAUCUCACUCCAAGAAAAUGUAGAGAAGUAAUACCCUAAAUAUCUGUAGUUCUCUGAUUCAGUUUAUCAUAAAAUAUCUGAAAUAUUUUAGCAUUUGUCCUACAAAGGCCCAGAUUUUGAGGUAACAAAGUACUUUCAUUAAUCCCUUUCAUAUUUCUCUUUGCCAGAAUGCUUGAUCAAAAGUAUCGAUUAUCUGGUGUCAGCUGUUUUCCCGAAUUCAUGCAGUACUGACAAAGAAGAAUUUGGAAUUAAAUACCAGAGAAAAGUUCUAUUCCACCUAGAGGUCACAGUUUUGUGACAAUAUUUUUGACAUUCUAAUUAGGUUAUCAGCCUAUGAUUGCUAAUGUACAUCUUUAGUUCUUUUUUCAUAGCUGAGUUAAUAAAUACUUUUUGUAUCAAGUUAAUUUGAUAUAAAAAGUAAUUAUUCUUAUAUAUUACUAAUCAAGAUCAUAUGAAUUAUAACAAAGCAUUACUUAGAAAUAUAAUAUUAAAAUGCAACAGCUUUAAAUCCUAUUGACCCAAUGGAUAUUACCUACAAGUCGGGCUCUGUACAAACCCAUUCAGAAUGCUCCAGCUGCACAAUGCAGUAUUUUAUGCCAAUCAAAUUAUGUUAUUGUGAUAGAACAUGAUAUGGACUUUCAAGAAAAAAAUGAUCCAAUACAAAACUGUUAUAUACUUGGCCCUCAUCCCCAUGAUCACAAAUCCCAGAAUUUCAAGAAAAUUUGGCCAACUGAAGUAAAUUGUAAAUUGUGUUUACACUGUCACAUGGGUGGCAUCACUAUAGCUAAGACACAAAGUAUUCUCUGUGUAUUGUCAAGAUUAUCCUGAAAUACCAUAAUUUUUAAAAGUUUUCAGGACACCUUCUUUCCUUCACUAUUAAAAAUUUUAUUGUUCUCUUUCAACUCCUUUGACAUCAUGUCUAUUCCUUUAUAACUAAAGUCAAUGAUUAAUUAAAGAAUAAUAUCU
rnacentral:lncRNA from 1 species